ACUCUCACCCGCCGGAGCAACUGGUGGAAGUCAAGAAAAGUCUCUCGGGGCUGGGGGAGGGGAUUGUAGGGGUGUGUGUGACAGAGGCCUCAAAAAUCUGGCUGGGGGUGCUAAGGCAAGCCCAUCUGCGCACUGUGCCCUGAGGUGCAAGAGGAUGCAGGGUGGAAGUCGUCCCAAGAGAGUCCAGGGAUCAAGUGGGCAUGCCCUUUUAGCCUUGGCACGAAAUGGAGCAGAAAAAGAGCCGGAUGCGGAUUACUGUGGUGCCCUAGGCUCAGAUUCUGCUGAGUCACUGUGACUGCGGAUUUGGAAGGCUGAGAGUCCUGGGGAGACAUGCUCCGUGGAGACGAAUUUGUUUCUUCCUUUGCAAGAUUCAGAUUCUGCACUUGGGGGCCCAUACAACACACUUCCCUGGGUGCAUGCCACUGCACCACCCCUGCUCCUCAAGGCAGGCGCUCCGGUGCUCACAGGCCAUGGGACAGUCCAGUUCCCUGCAGACCCAGCGGGGCAUGGGCGGACAGAGCCGCACCGUGAAGCCCGCCUGUUAUUUCCAUCGGGUGGUCCUGGAGACGACACGGCUGGGGAAAUGGGUCACCGGAACUCCACGGCGGCCAGACGCCCAUCCAAUUUGCCUGCGGGAACUCGCUCUUCACCUUUUCUUCACAAACUUCUUUCUGGAAGCGUUGGGAUUUAAGCGUCUCCGCCCAGCUCCCAAGGUGCUGUCCCGGACCUGCAGGGUAGCUGAGCGGCUGGAGAUGUCAUUCUCGACAAAGGGUGACACCCCGGCGAUGUAGUCAGGGGCGAACACGUUGGUUUUCUGCCUGGCCUUUUGGGAGAGUCGCAGCUGAGGGAAGCGCUGAUCCUCGGUGAGAUGGGGGUUGAUGGCGUAUUUGCCCCCUUUGGGAGUGGGAAGCGAGUACUGGAAAUAAGACAAGGAAGGGCCAUUAGAAGAAGGGGAGCCACAGUCACACAAGGCCAUGGCUGGUAAGGUGCAGCCGACCUUGCAGAUCCUGGUGCAGGCAGAUGACAGCGGGUGGUAAUUGACUGCCUACCAUGUGCUACGUGUGACAUGCCGCCGCCUCCCACCUGAUUCCCACCUCAAUUCACACACGAAAAACCGAACACGGUAUUUUGACUACAUACCUUCAGCUAAAGACAAUACAGAAAUAGAAAUACAAAACAUUCCAGUGUGUAUUUACACACACAUGUAUGUAUUUCCUAGCUCUGUCCAUUGUAGCCAAGACGCAAUGACACUGCAGGACAACAGACACACCCAGUCCCCAGAUCUUUACUUCUAAAAACCAUCCUGCAUAAAAAACCAGAGCUCCUGAGAGAAAUGGCGGAUUCUGGGGCACAGGCAGGAGAUGGCUGAGUCUCUGGGAACUUCUUGUUGUGCCAUAAAGUUUGACAGACCAGGAUCUGUCAAAAGAACACAGGCUCCCACUGGCCACACAUGGCACAACGCGAGGCUCAAAAUGACAGUGAUAGAUCACAACCUGUAGACUAUGACAGAAAUCCACAAGACCACACUCAUAGAAAUCAAUAAAUGAGACUAAAAGGAAAGUUCUUCUUUACAGUAUAAUACCAGGUCAUAAACAUGGAAGGAAUGACAGAAAAUCACCAUUUGGCAAUAAUCACUAUAAUAACUGUUUCAGGCAACUUUAGGUAAGUUCAACGAGAAAUAAUAUAUACAAAGUCUCAGUCUCUUUCUACAAAUUAAGUAUUAUAAAUAACUUUACAGGGGAUUAAGGUGGCAGAAGCCACUGAACCAAGUGAUUGAAGUUAGUAUCACCAGUAAAUUAGACAAUUAGCAUUUACCCACUGAAACGAAGUCCUGAGAAGGACACAUCAGGAUCACCUCUGGCGUGUUCCUGCCAAAACUGCAUAGCCCCAAUCUAAUCCAAUCCCGAGGAAAUACCAGACACACGCAAGGGAAAGGACAUUCUACAAAGGAACGGACUCAUACUCUUCAAAAGUGUCAAGGUCAUCUACGACAAAAGACUGAAAGGACCCCAGUCGAAAAAAGACAAGAUGACAAAAUGCAACGUUUCAUCCUAGACUGGAUUCUGGACCCAAAAAAUCCCCUUCUUUUGUCAGAAAGGAAAUUUGUGGAACAACUGGCAAAAUCUGGAGUUGGGUCUGCAGAUUACACACUGGUAUCGCAGCGAUGCUGAUUUCUUGAUUUUGAUAAUUACACUGUGGUUACAUAAGAUAAAGUCCUUGUUUCAAGGCAAAA